rnacentral:lncRNA from 1 species
CCACAUAGAGUUCCUAUGAGGUUCAAAAUUUUCACUAUCUUCAUCAUCUCUAUUUGUAGAGUAAGUGUAUUGUGAAGAGUAGUCAGCAACCAUGGCAAUGGUUUUCAAGAACCAAAACCCAAAAGUCAAUAGGAAACCGAAUACUUCGGUAUUUUUCGGGAUUACCAAACAAAUGGGAUUUGGAAACCAAUCCCAUAUCGAAAAUUUCGGUAUUUUUCGGGAUGGGAUUCCCGAACUUCAAUAUGGUUUUGGUUUGGGAUUUUUCGGUUUGGGUUUGGGACUUUUUUGGUUUGGUUUGGGAUUUUCGGGAAUUUUUUCCAGCCCUACCAUGUAAGUGACCAAAUAAAAAAUAGAAAAAUUAAAAACCACAUGCCAUUGACUAAGUAAUUAAUUGACACAAUUUAAAAUAUAAUACCACAAAAAAUUUGGAAUAUGUGCAAAUUUGUUUCUUGUAAAAAGAAUUCAAAACAAAACAAUAUAUAUAAAUAUAGUAGCAUAUUAUCACAACAACAUAAGUGAUAUGGUGGUUAAGGCGUUAAGGACUCAAAUGGGAGGGGGUUCGAAUCCCUUUAGUCUCAAAAUUUUGAGACUUUUCAAGGAUAAGUCUCCCUACAUUUUUGGGAGUAUGUCAGAGCUCCUCGUUAAUCCU